rnacentral:rRNA from 1 species
GACGAACGCUGGCGGCGUGCCUAAUACAUGCAAGUCGAACGCUGAAGAGAGGAGCUUGCUCUUCUUGGAUGAGUUGCGAACGGGUGAGUAACGCGUAGGUAACCUGCCUUGUAGCGGGGGAUAACUAUUGGAAACGAUAGCUAAUACCGCAUAACAAUGGAUGACACAUGUCAUUUGUUUGAAAGGGGCAAUUGCUCCACUACAAGAUGGACCUGCGUUGUAUUAGCUAGUAGGUGAGGUAAUGGCUCACCUAGGCGACGAUACAUAGCCGACCUGAGAGGGUGAUCGGCCACACUGGGACUGAGACACGGCCCAGACUCCUACGGGAGGCAGCAGUAGGGAAUCUUCGGCAAUGGGGGCAACCCUGACCGAGCAACGCCGCGUGAGUGAAGAAGGUUUUCGGAUCGUAAAGCUCUGUUGUAAGUCAAGAACGAGUGUGAGAGUGGAAAGUUCACACUGUGACGGUAGCUUACCAGAAAGGGACGGCUAACUACGUG